GCAACUAAAAAACGGACAACAAAUAAAAUUUGGACCACCCUCAAUUAGGAAACUAGGUCAGCAGCCCCCAUUUCAUUUCCUCUCUCUAUCCGCAGCCUCUCUCUAGAAAUCUCGCCGUUCCGAUGUGUCUUCCGAGCAGGUGAGGAUGAUGAUCGCCACUAAUGGUGUUUUUGAGACUCCAGUAGUGGUUCUGACUCUCCUUUGUGUCGUCAAAUCUCUCAAUCGCCUAUUCUUAUGCUCCAGGUAAUGUAUCUCUUUGCCCAAUCUUUUAUUUGCGGAUUUUGUGUAUUUGAGCUCUAAUCUGUAUCUCCUUCUUUCAUGAGCUGAAAUGCUGAGCUGUAUUUGUUUCCGCUGAGUAUCUUUCAUCAAAGAUCUACUUGCAAGUUACUCUCAGAUGUGUCUACUUCCUUUUCAACUUGACCAGUGUCCAAGUUGAUCAUAUUUUCACCCCCUCCUGAUGCCUGAUUGGUAUGAUAACUGCUGUUCUUCUUGUUUGUACUUCUUAUACUACAGAUGCCAUGGAAAAGACUGCUUCCCUUGCAAAAAAAUUUGGAGGGAGAUCUGGAAAACUGAUCCACGCCACUGCAACUGAUGUUUCUUCCCCAGGCUUGAACCAUGGAUCCCAAAUAAGAGGUCUCAUCUGGCAGUACCUCUCCUUGACUUUAAGAUAAAAGGCUGGAGUGGACAACAUCUUCACAUAGUCUUCCAAAAGAGAUAAUCUGAUCAGGAUGUACCUUUCCUCAAUCAAUUCUAUUGUAGUUAUUCCUUUCAAACCACAUUGUAUAUGAAUUAUAUCUCUUAAUUCCUUCAUACUAAUGAUAUCAUAUGAAAACUUCCCAAGAACUGCAUAUUUUAGAUCUUCCUUAAUUAUCAUCUGUUGUACUUCCUUUGAAUUCCAUGCUAUAUAUGGCUCUCCAUCUAUGUAUUCCACCUGUUUAGAUGGAAUAGUGAUUUGUUG